rnacentral:lncRNA from 1 species
GGCAAAUGGGUGUACCAAUAGGUACACCCUUAGGAAAUUCCUUCCCUUUUUGGAAGAUUUCAAGCAAACAAUCAGUAACCUUCUCCUCUUUGAAGUUCUUGUCAUUCUUUUGAAGAUCUCAUCUAUUUCUACACAAUUCUUUUCACCGAUUCCAGGUUAUGUUACCAGUGUUUGAUUUAUUGUGAAUAAAUUAUAAUGUGCUAGUGUGAUAUGUUGAUGAUGAUGAUGAUGAUGAUGAUCGGAUUAUGAAAAAGGAUAUACUAAACAAACUUGGAUUUUUUUUAUCUUUGGGACCAAGAUACAAAUGAUGGAUAGAUGGAGGGCUAGGUCGUAAAUAAAUGAUGAUUAGCAUCUUUAAAAAACAAACCCUAAAGCCGUCAUUGUGUAACCAUCCCCUUCCGCACACAUCUUCAUCGCUAAUUGAAGGUUUCAAACCUUCUGCUCGAAUCGCCUAGGCUAGUUCCAUGAUCAGUUCUGUGAUUUUAUUCCUAGCAAUCGACUAAAACUUAAUUAGACAAAACUACCAUGAAGAUGGUUCUUUCCGAGUUGUGCCGGAGACAUUCAACGGACGGGUUUGGCGCGCUACCGGUCUAGCACUCGAAGUUCUGUUUAGGCUUGAUGUUUAUUUACGUGAGUGGAAUCAAAUCCGGAUGCAGGUCGAGUAGGUUGGCGGCAAUCCUUGAAGCGGUAGCGGUUCAGUAUAACUCUCUCAGAACAACCCUAGGUGGAACCGUCGGUGGAGGGCGGUGACCAUGAUGCGGAUGGUGAUGGUUGGCGAAGGUCAUGGGUGUGACUGGUUUGUGGCGAAAUCAGUGAAUGUUGGUGUGUGGUUGCCUUAGGUAGCGAUGGUUUUUGGUUUCGAAGGCGGCGACGAGUGGAAGGAACUAGGAAGUGAUAGAUGAUGGUGUUGGCGGUAUGGGCUGACGGUGUGCGGCAUCGAUAAGGAUGAUGGUUGCUCGGCUAGGAUGGUUUACGGCAGAAUAGAAAAACGAGAGAAAGAGAGUUCGAGAUCGGAGAUGAUUCCACGAUAGUUUGUGAGCGACAACUUCGGAUCAUGACCAGGUGACCAGCGAUGGCUAGGGCAGUGUUCGAAGCCGUGACGGUUACGGAUACGAUGAGAUUGGAACCGUGUGGUGGAUAAUGUCCUUCUUUGCAUGAACUUGUGUAUCGAUUGGACUAUGCUUAGUGAUUCUUGAGAUCACUCUACGUUCUGUGGACGGGGCUAUGAGUUUGUAGCGGGCGUUUUUAAUUGAUCAGUAGGGUUAGGCAAAAGGCUACAACUUAGGAGUUUGGUUUUAAGCCAUGAGUUUCAUGAAGGUGUCCUAAUGGUACGUAAUGAUGAUGAAAUUUAGUUGACACUAUAUAGGGCAUGGUUGGUGGGUUAGUUGAUGAAGACGCUAAAUAAGUGUGUUUCAUGGCUUAGAAUGGGUAAAAUAAUCUUGCAUGGGUUUUGUAUGGUGACACGCAUGGGAAAAAGAUGAUGGUUACAUAUAUGUUAGAGUUUACUUUGGUGUGGU